rnacentral:lncRNA from 1 species
AGAUCCCAAACUCUGCAUGAAUCCAUCUUCAUAUUCAAGUUUCUUCACUUUGAAGAAACCUUGAAAAACCUUCACCUCAACCUUCUACGUUGAUAAAUCUUCAUCACAAUCCAUUGAAGCAUUGCUUAGUGUCAUUACACAUUCAAACACUUGCCAAAAACAUAUUCAAUGCUUGAAUGUGUAAUGACAUUAAGCAAUGCUUCAAUGGACAAAACACCUUCAAAAUUCAUAUUCAACUUGAAUUUGAAUUUUGAAAAUUUGGUUCAAUUCAAGUUAUUUUUGGUUGGAAGAGAUAAAGGAGACUAUAAGAGUCUAAACCUGCAAAGAAAAGUAGAAAACAAUCUUCGUCGGAGCCAGAUCGGAGCAUCAUCAAAAUCUGGAGUUGCUGGCCGGAAAGUUCACCGACGUUCAUCGUGCGCUUGAGAUAUUUGCUAUAGGUAAGCUUUGAUCUUCAUCUUUUAAUUUAUUUAUUUGCAUCAUUUGCUACUGCACACCUCACACAUCAUAACCCAAAGUCAAUUACACUAAAUUGCUUUGAAUUGGUUGAAUAUGGAGAUCUAAGGUUCUUAAGCUCAUAAAUGUUCAUGAAAAUUCAUGAGCUCCAACCUAGAAAUCUUCAUACAGACCUGUUUAAAACAAAUUUCAAUCCAUAUUUGUUCACAAUACAAUUCAAAACAUGUAUCCUCAAUUAAUUUCACAUGAAAACAUUAUGUAUGGCCGGAUUGAGACACUUUAGGUUUUGCUUUAAAUGUCAGAUGUCAACCAAAUUUGUUGUUGAUGCAUGCUUAUUGAUUAGUGUGUUGUGUUUGUGAUGGUUCAUAUAUCAUUUCUAUAUAUUUUUCUGUUUAAUUUCGUGCAUGAGUUUGGAUUUGGGAGUUGAUGGUGGUUAAAGCUUCGUCUAUGUUUGGAUGCGUGGGAGGAAGGAAAUUAAUUUCCAGAUUCAACCUCAUCUGUCAGAUCCAUCUGUUUGUUUUGAUUUUUUUUAUCUGAGGGCCACGUGGCUUAAUCAGAUCCACUAGAUCUUGGCAUAAAGGGACUCAUGUACAUGAGCUCCUACCAUAGUCUCUGAACCCUAUGCAUCUUAAUCUGGUGGUAUAUAUUACUUGAUCUUGAGAUUCAAUCAGAGCAUUUAAUCCUCAUUAGAUUGCCACGCGCGUGCCCUUUGCUUAUUCCCUUAUAUUUUGACAUUUUGGCCUAUCUGAUUUGGGCCAAGCCCUUUUGAUGACUCAUACACCCCUUUUCCUUUAGCACCCUUUGAUGGUGUUUUGUGCAAUUUUGGACGGGCCCUCUAAUUUGGGCCCAAGCGUGCCUUACUAGACCACACCAUUCCUUUCCUGUUUCACACUUUGUUUCUUUUUGCUUUGUUUUGUAUACACUUGAGAUUAGGCCUUAAGCCCAUUAUUUUAUUUCUAUUUCAAUCUCUCAUGUGAACUCUUACAUUCCCCUUUGCCUAUUUUUAUUUAUAAUAUUGUCCUUUUAUGUCCAAUUAAUAUCGAUGGCUUUAUUUUAUUUGUGAUUAUUAUUAAUGAAAAUCAACUUGAAAAUAACACUCAACCUUGCUUCUUAAUAAAAAAAACACUUCAAAUAUUUUUCUUAAUAAAUCAGAUGAAAAUGGACUAGUUGGAUGUAUAUCCUUAUUUUCCCCACCCUGAGUACUUGGAUACCUGCUGUAUAGAUUGUCUUUCAAGUACUUGUCAAUCUUCAAAAACUUUAACUCGAUUCAUAUCAAAUCUUUUUCGCAAUUAAAUCGGAUCAAAAAUGACUAGUUUGAUGUAUAACCCUAUUUUCCCCAAGUAUUUGAAUAUCUGUUGUAUAACUUGCCUGGUCAUCUUCAAAAGACUUUAACUAUCAAUAUUUCUUACAAUUAAAUCGGAUGAAAAAUGACUAGUUGGAUGUAUAUCCCUCCUUUCCCCCGAGUACUUGGAUAAUUGUUGUAUAACUUGCAUUUCAAGUACUCGUCAUCUUCAAAAGACUUUAAAUCGAUAUAUAUAUAUAUCAAAUCUUUUUUGCAACUAAAUCACAUGAAAAAUGACUAGUUGGAUGUAUAUCCUUCUUAUCCUUGAGUACUUGGAUACCUGCUGUAUAGCUUGCCUUUCAAGUACUUGUCAUCUUUAUAAGACUUUAAUUCGUUUCAUAUCAAACCUUUUCACAAUCAAAUCGGAUACAAAGGACUAGUUGGAUGUAUAUCCCUCUUUUCCCCGAGUAUUUGGAUACUUGCUGAUUAACUUGUCUUUCGAAUACUCGUCUUCCACCCAAAAACAAACUCAAUCAAUCAAACUCAUUUUUUUCCAAGUGCAGUAAAAAAUCAAACUUUUUUCAUGAAUGAACAUUAUUUUAUCCAUUCCGACGUGACAUGCAAACAAAUGUUCCAGCCUCCCAUGCACGAGUAACAAGCAAUGUUUAACCGCUCAAAUGAGACACGAAUAUCAUUCACUAAAAUCAACCAACACACAAAUAUUUGCUACAGAGAACUACGUAGUUUUGAAUUCCUCAUCGCACCGGUGGAUAUGUAGGAGAAAUAUUUGAAUCUUGUCAAGCACCAUAAUAAAAAUCAACAUGUUCUUGCAAAGAACUAUGUAUCUUUGAAUUCCUUAAUGCACCAGAGGGUACGUGGGAGCGAGAUUCAACGACUCGUCAAACACCAUAAUAAAAACUAAUUUGUUCUCGCUCAGAACUAUGUAGCUUUGAAUUCCUCAUCACACACGGGGAUACGUAAAAUCAAGAUUCAACGUUUCAUCAAGCACCAUAAUAAAAAACUAAAUUUUAGUUUUUAUUUUUUCAUGCUUUUAUUAAUUAUAAGAAAUCAAAUAACAUAUGCUAACACUCUUAUUCACAAAGCUGACUAAAUGGUUUCCGUUAAGUACAACGAAUGUAUGACUGCUAAUACCUUCCCAUUCAUAACCGAAACUCGAACUUGAAUUUGGUUGUAACGACCAUAUUUUUGUUCUUUUAAGGUUUUAUAGAUGUUUUCCCUUUAAAAAAAUAAACUUCGGUGAUGACUCUAUUGUUAUUUCGAGCGUUCAUACGCUCAGGUAUUUUUCGUGUCGCGAUAACGGUCAGUUGCAUUGGAAUGCUAACACGAUAACCUUUAUGUUGAAAUGAGGAAAUGAGAUAUGAGGGCGCUACACCAGUAGCAAUUCUCUAGUUUUCAUUCCAGGAGCGUAAUCAAAUCUCAAUCUAGUAUUAGUCAUCUUGUUUCACGCGUAACUUGGGUUUCAUAAGUUCGUUUGAAGUUCAGUCAACUAUGUUAGAAACUCAACCUACUUUCAUGCUAGUAUGAUGUAUGAACAAACCAUCAAUAAUAAUCCUUCCUAACCUCAUUCCUCUUUGAAACACAUUCAUUUGAAUUGCCAUAUAAGGUCUUCAUAACAAUUUCCUUAUAACACAUUUCCAUCACUACCACAUAAGGGUUUCACUUAAUUCAUGUCAAUCAUUCAUAGUUUACCACAAUCACACCGAUACAAUAAUAUCACUAAUAUUUAUCACAAGAAAGGUAUACGGACGUCUAGGAGAGUGUCGUAGUACGAAUGUAUAUCACAUGUACUCCUAUACUGUAGAACUCAAAAGAGUGUCAUGGUACGAAUGUAGCCCACGUGUACUCUUAGAAUGUUGAGCCUAUAGAAAGUGUUAUGGUACGGAGCGUGUCCCACAUGUACUUCCAUGAAUAUACUAUGAGUUCAGUGUUUGGCACCACAUGCAUGCAGAGUAUAUGUUGUCGUGCAUUCCAUAACAUUGAUGUGUAUUGAUGUGUGAUUGUAUGAAUUAACAUGGUAUCUGUCAUACUGUGAUGACGAUUGUGAAUAUUUGUGUUGUAUUACCUUGUUAUUGUUAUACAAUUUAUUUUUGUAAAAUGUAUUCUCACCCCUUUCUUUCUUGUUUGUAUGAUGUACCUUUGAACAUGAUACACUCAGGAUGAGACUGAGGAAUAGUUGCUCUGUGAGGUGAUCCAGUGAAGAUGGUGUAGAAGGUCAUCUUAGUCUUAUGUGUAUUAUGAUGCUAACGUAUGUUAGUCAGUUAGGGAUUGAGUCUAAAUAAAGUUAUGAUAUAGUGACAUCAAAGAUGGGGUUGCAAUUUAAAUUAUUUUUUUGCUUUUUGACUUUCAAUAAUUUAUUGUGAAUCUUGAACAUGUUAUCCAAGUAUGUGAAUUUUCUAAUGUAUGUUAUAAGUAAUGUGUGAUACCAUGUGUUUUUAAUGCUAUUUAUCAUAUAAAUUAUUCCACAA